GAUGCAGACAACACAAGGGAAAAGGUCAUAUAAUUUCAUUUUCUCACUUACCUCAUUAAUGCAAAACAAACCUCUAUCUGAAAUUAAAAUUAUCUACAAUUGAGCACAUCUCAUUCACUUCCAUGGGCUCAAGAUUUUCUCAUUUAUCUGCAAUCAUGCGCUUCUUAGUUCUCAUUCACUUGUCAUUCAUUUUAAGUUGGUAGAGUGUCAUUCUUUUUUGUAAACUUCAGUGUUUUCUUCUUAGAAAAAUCAGGAGAACAAGUAAAUUCCUUCUCUUUUCUUUAUUAUCUAUUUUUCUCUUGUUAUUGGUUUUCCUUGAUGUUUUUGAGCUAACUAUUGCCUUUCCUGAAAUAGUAGCUGGAUGACCUGCAACAUUAUUGCACUGCCUUAGAUCUGUUAGUUGUUGGUCUUGCUAUUGAUUUUUUCUUGGAAACAAACCUGUGGUUACUGCUGGUUAUAUUCUGUUUGGUAUUCUACUUGUGGAGCUGCAAGCAGGCCCUUAAAUUUGCUUUUUGGUAGGAAAUUUAAAAUUUAAGGAUUUCAACUUGACUUUCAAAUCUAUUCAAAAUAAGAAAAGUUUUAGUUGAAAAUUGCAUAAAUGAAUUUUUUGACUGAUAAAGAAUAUGAACAGAAACAUUUGUAGUCUCUAGUCCAAAUUUCAGUGUUUGAAAUAAACCUUGUUUUUAAGUAUUUCAAAUUCUCCCUGAAACAAGGUUUUAUCUGCAUUUGUUGGUCUAAAGAAAUAAAAAUCAAUGCCCUGUAAACUUUGCUCAAGCAAUUUACCCAAAAGCAACCACAAUUCAAGUCCUAUUUUAUUAGCUGUGCUGAAUAACUAAAUUGUUUUUAUUAAUUGUAUUUUAAUUUUUGGUUUUUUUUUGUUUUCUGUUCCUGCAGAUUCACAAAAUGCAUAUGUUGA
rnacentral:misc_RNA from 1 species